UAGCUAGUUGGUGAGGUAAAGGCUUACCAAGGCGACGAUCUGUAGCGGGUCUGAGAGGAUGAUCCGCCACACUGGAACUGAGACACGGUCCAGACUCCUACGGGAGGCAGCAGUGGGGAAUUUUGGACAAUGGGGGCAACCCUGAUCCAGCCAUGCCGCGUGAGUGAAGAAGGCCUUCGGGUUGUAAAGCUCUUUCGGCCGGGAAGAAAUCGCAUGGGCCAAUACCCUGUGUGGAUGACGGUACCGGAAUAAGAAGCACCGGCUAACUACGUGCCAGCAGCCGCGGUAAUACGUAGGGUGCGAGCGUUAAUCGGAAUUACUGGGCGUAAAGCGUGCGCAGGCGGUUUUGUAAGACAGGCGUGAAAUCCCCGGGCUUAACCUGGGAACUGCGUUUGUGACUGCAAGGCUAGAGUACGGCAGAGGGGGGUGGAAUUCCACGUGUAGCAGUGAAAUGCGUAGAGAUGUGGAGGAACACCAAUGGCGAAGGCAGCCCCCUGGGUCGAUACUGACGCUCAUGCACGAAAGCGUGGGUAGCAAACAGGAUUAGAUACCCUGGUAGUCCACGCCCUAAACUAUGUCAACUAGGUGUUGGGUGGGUAAAACCAUUUAGUACCGUAGCUAACGCGUGAAGUUGACCGCCUGGGGAGUACGGCCGCAAGGUUAAAACUCAAAGGAAUUGACGGGGACCCGCACAAGCGGUGGAUGAUGUGGAUUAAUUCGAUGCAACGCGAAAAACCUUACCUACCCUUGACAUCCAGGAACUUGCCAGAGAUGGCUUGGUGCCCGAAAGGGAGCCUGGACACAGGUGCUGCAUGGCUGUCGUCAGCUCGUGUCGUGAGAUGUUGGGUUAAGUCCCGCAACGAGCGCAACCCUUGUCGUUAAUUGCCAUCAUUUAGUUGGGCACUUUAACGAGACUGCCGGUGACAAACCGGAGGAAGGUGGGGAUGACGUCAAGUCCUCAUGGCCCUUAUGGGUAGGGCUUCACACGUCAUACAAUGGUCGGUACAAAGGGUUGCCAAGCCGCGAGGCGGAGCCAAUCCCAGAAAGCCGAUCGUAGUCCGGAUUGCAGGCUGCAACUCGCCUGCAUGAAGUCGGAAUCGCUAGUAAUCGUGGAUCAGCAUGUCACGGUGAAUACGUUCCCGGGUCUUGUACACACCGCCCGUCACACCAUGGGAGCGGGUUCCGCCAGAAGUAGGUAGCCUAACCGCAAGGGGGGCGCUUACCACGGCGGGGUUCGUGACUGGGGUGAAGUCGUAACAAGGUAGCCGUAGGGGAACCUGCGGCUG
rnacentral:rRNA from 1 species